rnacentral:rRNA from 1 species
AACGAACGCUGGCGGCAGGCCUAACACAUGCAAGUCGAGCGAGGACUUCGGUCCUAGCGGCGGACGGGGGAGUAACGCGUGGGAACGUGCCCUUUGCUUCGGAAUAGCCCUGGGAAACUGGGAGUAAUACCGGAUGAGCCCUUUGGGGGAAAGAUCUAUCGGCGAAGGGUCGGCCCGCGUUGGAUUAGGUAGUUGGUGGGGUAAUGGCCUACCAAGCCGACGAUCCAUAGCUGGUUUGAGAGGAUGAUCAGCCACACUGGGGCUGAGACACGGCCCAGACUCCUACGGGAGGCAGCGGUGGGUAAUCUUAGACAGUGGGGGGACCCCUGAUCUAGCCAUGCCGCGUGAGCGAUGGAGGCCGUAGUGUUGUACAGCUCUUUCAGCUGGGAAGAUAAUGACGGUACCAGCAGAAGAAGCCCCGGCUAACUCCGUG